rnacentral:rRNA from 1 species
CAGUCGCCACGGGAAUACGUAGGGUGCAAGCGUUAAUCGGAAUUACUGGACGUAAAGCGUGCGCAGGCGGUUCGCUAAGACAGAUGUGAAAUCCCCGGGCUUAACCUGGGAACUGCAUUUGUGACUGGCGGGCUAGAGUAUGGCAGAGGGGGGUAGAAUCCCACGUGUAGCAGUGAAAUGCGUAGAGAUGUGGAGGAACACCGAUGGCGAAGGCAGCCCCCUGGGCCAAUACUGACGCUCAUGCACGAAAGCGUGGGGAGCAAACAGGAUUAGAUACCCGUGUAGUCCCUGUCUCUUAUAA